GGUAGCGUGGCCGAGUGGUCUAAGGCACUGGAUUUAGGCUCCAGUCUCUCUGGGGUUGUGGGUUUGAAUCCCAUUGCUGCCA